CAUAUACUCCCUCCGUCCGAAAAUACUUGUCAUCAAAAUGGACAAAAAAGGAUAUAUCUAGAACUAAAAUACAUCUAGAUACAUCCCCUUUUGUUCAUUUUGAUGACAAGUAUUUUCGGACGGAGGGAGUAUGUG
rnacentral:pre_miRNA from 1 species